AUUCCUGUAUUCUUUUUCUGAACCUAUUAUGUACUUGCAAAGUGGAAAAACUGCCCACAUUUACAGAAGACAUUCAGAUCUAGCACUUACCACCUGAGGGAGUCUUAGGGAAUCACUGUGGCUCCCACCUGUCAGAAGCAGAAUUUGUACACAAGCCUUCCCCUGUCUCUGUUGAGUCCUCUAUUGACUCUACCACCCUCGUUCCCUAGGAGUGCUGCUCAGGAAGCCCUGGAUUCUAAUCCAGCUUCAUUCUUCCUAGUUGUGUGACCUUGGGUCAGUCACUUUCUGCAUCACAUCUAUAAAAUGGACAUCCUAAUUGUACCAUAAUUGUACCACCCUCCCAAAUUUGUGGGAAUAAGAUGAGCUAUUUGUAAAGUUGUUCAUCCUUCAUUUUUAUAGCAGACUAGUGACAGUGUCUUAUCACGUUCUAGUGAAUAGGAUUUAAGUGAGGCAGAGGCACAUGAAGUACUCAGCCUUAUUCUCUCUUCUAGUCCUACAAGUUCAGUGGCAAGCCAAAAGGCAGGACCACUAGACGUCCCAGGACCUUGGCUUCUCCGAGGCCUGAGGGACCUCUACCACACUCCACCUUGCCUGCUGCUGCUGCCCUCAUGGCCUCAGCAACACAUCACUUUUGUCUACCCAUUCUGCCUGGGGAAGUCUUCCCUGGCCUGGAGUGGACAAUCCUGAGUCACCGGUCUGUGGCCUUUUGGCCACAUGGCGGAGCCCACAGCCUCCAGGAACACCAUUUGCUGUGCCUCCCUAACGUGCUCAUCAAGAAAACUGGCAUGAUCAUCUGGAUUGUGUUUUAGGCUCCUCCUAGGCAGUUCGUGUUUUCCUUGACAACAUGACUAAUUAUGGGGAGGAAGAGAAGUGGAGGAGCUCCAGAGAAAGAAUUAAAAGAGUGAAUGCAGAUCAAA